rnacentral:lncRNA from 1 species
GGUGAGGGGUCCCGCAGCCCCUGCCACGGGGCAUGUGACAGCAGCUGCCACACGCCACCAUCUGCCCAGACAGCAAGAGCCGGGCCUCUGCUUCCCUCAGGCUACUCACACCCAGAUGUCUCCUGUGCCCAGGCCAUCGGUCUCCACGAACCUGUCUGGGGUCCUGCUGGCGCCUGGCACCUCCUUUGUGAGACAGGGCCUGUCCCCAAUGGAGGAGGACGCGGAGAGACCCCCGGCCUGAGGAAGCCCAGCCAGAGCAGAGAACCCGGCAGCGGAUAUAACCGGGGCUUUAAAGCACGACUGAACAACACACUCCCCUCAUCUGCUGAUCAUACAAAUAAACUGGCACAGACAGAGGCUGGCUCUCAUGGAACGGGGAAACAGCCACUACGGCGGAAAUGCAGCCAUCUGUCCCUCCCGUGCUCAGAGCCCCUCGCCCUGUCGCCGGCCCCUCCUGCCCCCUGCCGGCAGGUCCCAGCCAGAGCCAGACACACAGUCAUUUCUCCUGAACAGUGGGCCGCUGAGCCCUUACUUUAUAAAUACAGUGCACUUUAUUUUUUAAAAAAUCCAAAAGAAGGAAAUGUUCCAUUCUGCCCCUUCCCCUCUACCCAAGCAGUCAUAGGGGACAGGGUGCCACACUUUAGAAAACCCAGACAGCACAUGCAGAGGGGACGCGGGGACCUCGGAGCCUGGGGCGAAGGUGCGAGGACAGGAGGAGGACGGCCUCGAAGAAGGUGAACCCGGGCUGGCUCGGGGAAGGCCUGGGGCCUCAAGGGCUGCAGGAGACUUCUAGCCAAACGCAGAGCCCGGCCCUCCGCCCGAACCAGCAGGAAACCCACCGUGAUGUCUGGAAAGCUGAACAGCUCGGGAGGAGAGAGGAGCCAGCUCAAGGGAGACACUGGCGAUCAUCCCAGGACUUUCUUCCUCCAAAGGAUAGAGACAGAAUCUUCUUUUCUGCUUGGAGCCUGGUUUGCUUUGGCUUCCCUUGGCCUGGUUUGGUUUCACUUAAGAAGGAAGGGCAAAUAUUCUGGGAACUCAGACACAAAAAUUAUGUCUAUCAGUCCUGGGAACGAGGGAGCCCUGUCUGUGUUUUCUCUGCUUCCCCAAGUCCCCGCCCUCAGCUCCGUCUGAGCUUCCGAAGCCCCUCCUGCAGCCCAGUACUCAGCACCUGUGCUGGUCCCCAGCCCACUGGUCCCUGAAGUAGCUUCUCCCUCGCAGUGAACGCCUGCUGGGUCCAUCAUUUCUCCUCCUUCCUCAAAGCUUGCAUCCUUCCUCAUCACCACCCACCCUCCACUUGUCCCUCCGCUAAGCACAAGGCUGGCAGUGGACUGACGCUGUGCAUUGUGGGUAUUCUCUGCCCUUCCUGGAGUCCGGGAAGUAGGAAUUGCGGUCUAAUUCAUCAUCCAGGAGAGCAGCAGAGCCUGGAAGAGCCGGGGUUGGGUGCCUAAUAAAAGAUCACUGUGGGAAAGGGAUCUGCCCCCUGCCCAAAUUCUGCUGCUCCAUCAGGUAGACCGGGUAGGAGUUAGGGCCCUCCUGGUCCCGUAGGUCACUGUCCUCAGCGUGCCGGCUCAGUGCACGGCGGGCUCGAGUCAGGCAGGGCACCUGGGAUGGGGACGAGAAGGGAGGAGUGAGAACCGCCUGCCGCGCCCCGCUCUCCUCGCCCUGCGCCCCCCGCUCCUCACUCUGCUUUUCUGUCCCCUGCCUUUUGCUUUGCUCCUUUCCCAAGAUUCCAUGCAAAGCUCUGCCCCUAGCACCCUCAGCCUGGAUUCUGUCCCCAGGUUCCCGGCCCCUGCUGUUCUUGUCCUUACACCUUGUCCUCCUCACACAUGCACGCUUAUCCCCACCCUCCGGUUCUCUCUCCUUUACACCUUUCCUCUGGGCUAAGCCUUUUCCCCAAGUCCAACUUCCACAUUCUGUGCAUUCGUCGCCUCUUCCCUUCAUUUUCACCCCACGGCCCAUCCAUUACCAAGCUCCACCUCCACCACGUUAUUCCCUCACUCUGACGCCUCCUCUGUCCCCGACUCCCUAGCCAUGGACUCAUCUCUCUGUCCCUUACCAAGAUCAGACCAAUGAACAACAGCAGGAGAAUCACAGCCAGCAGGACCACAACCACUAUGGCCCACGCAGGGAAUGAGUCCUCUCCCCUCAUCUCUCCAGCAUGGGGGCCUGUCUGUGAGCCGUUGUUAUUCUGCUGUGGGUGACUCUUGCUGCCUGGGGCUUCUGACGUGGUGGACCUCUGGUCCACUCGGGAUGUGGUGAGCGUCAAAGAACCAAGAGCCCCUUGAUGGGAGACCUCAGUUUUCUUUAAACGAGGAGAGGUAACAGUGAUUGAUUUGUCUCCCGCGGUCUUGACUGUAUGUCCUGUAGCCUCUGUGACUGUUGCUGCUGCUGCUGUUUUUUCUGUAGAUUUUAUGAGGAUUUUUGUGGUCUCAGGGAUCAGUGUGGUCUUUUUUGGGUAUAUUAUAGGAUUUUUGGAGAUCUUUGUGGUUUUAUCUGUGGUUGAUGUGGUCUCUUCUGGGUGUUGUGUGGACUUUAAUAAGAUUUGUGUUGUCUUCUUGUGGGCUGAUGUAGUCUUUUCACCAUGAUCUAGAGGCACUGUUUGGGCUUCCAUGGUCCUCUCCUGGGUCAGUGUGGUCUUUUGUCCAUGUUCUGGAGGUGUUGGGUAAGCUCCUGUGAUCUCAUGGUCUGACACAGUGUUUCCUCCAUGUUCUGAUGGUGUCACGUGAACUCCUGUGAUCUCAUGGGCUGACACAGUCUUUCCUCCAUGUUCUGAUGGUGUCACGUGGACUCCUGUG